rnacentral:tRNA from 1 species
GGCGCCGCCGGUGCGGGCGUUCAGGCGCUCGCGCUUGAUACGGGCGCGGUACUCGGUAACCUCGCGGGCGCGGGCCUCGUUCGGCACCAC